rnacentral:rRNA from 1 species
GUGCCAGCAGCCUGCGGUAAUACGUAGGGUGCAAGCGUUAAUCGGAAUUACUGGGCGUAAAGCGUGCGCAGGCGGUUAUGCAAGACAGGUGUGAAAUCCCCGGGCUCAACCUGGGAACUGCACUUGUGACUGCAUGACUAGAGUGCGUCAGAGGGAGGUGGAAUUCCGCGUGUAGCAGUGAAAUGCGUAGAGAUGCGGAGGAACACCGAUGGCGAAGGCAGCCUCCUGGGAUGACACUGACGCUCAUGCACGAAAGCGUGGGGAGCAAACAGGAUUAGAUACCCUGGUAGUCCACGCCCUAAACGAUGUCAACUAGUUGUCGGGGAUUCAUUUCCUUGGUAACGCAGCUAACGCGUGAAGUUGACCGCCUGGGGAGUACGGCCGCAAGGUUAAAACUCAAAGGAAUUGACGGGGACCCGCACAAGCGGUGGAUGAUGUGGAUUAAUUCGAUGCAACGCGAAAAACCUUACCUACGCUUGACAUGCCAGGAACUUUCCAGAGAUGGAUUGGUGCCCGAAAGGGAACCUGGACACAGGUGCUGCAUGGCUGUCGUCAGCUCGUGUCGUGAGAUGGUGGGGUAAGUCCCGCAACGAGCGCAACCCUUUUCCUUAGUUGCUACGCAGUGCACUCUAGAGAUACUGUCGGGAACAAACCGAGAAGAUCGGGAUGACGUCAAGACCUCAUGGCCCUAUGUGUAGGGCUUCACUCGUCAUACAAUGGUCGGUACAGAGGUCGUCAAUCCCGGCAGCGGGAGCCAAUGCAGAAAACCAGAUCGUAGACGAUUGGAGUCUGCAUUUCAGUUGCAUGAUGCGGAAAUCGCU